ensembl:snRNA U6 U6 spliceosomal RNA
AUGCUUGCUUCAGCAGCACAUAUACUAAAAUUGGAAUUACACAGAGAUGAUUAGCAUUGUCCCUCUAGGGGGAUUACGUGCACGUCAUUUGUGAAGCAUUCCAUAUUAAA